rnacentral:rRNA from 1 species
UACAGAGGUGGCAAGCGUUGUUCGGAAUUACUGGGCGUAAAGCGUGCGCAGGCGGUUUUGUAAGCCAGCUGUGAAAGCCCCGGGCUCAACCUGGGAAUGGCAUUUGGGACUGCAAGGCUGGAGUGUGGCAGAGGAGACUGGAAUUCCUGGUGUAGCAGUGAAAUGCGUAGAUAUCAGGAGGAAUACCGAUGGCGAAGGCAGGUCUCUGGGCUAACACUGACGCUCAGGCACGAAAGCGUGGGGAGCAAACAGG